rnacentral:rRNA from 1 species
GACGAACGCUGGCGGCGCGCUUAACACAUGCAAGUCGAACGGAAAGGCCUGCUUUCCCUUGUGGAUUGCGGGUACUCGAGUGGCGAACGGGUGAGUAACACGUGAGUGAUCUGCCCCCAACUUGGGUAUAAGCCUGGGAAACUGGGUCUAAUUCCCGAUAGGACUGCAGGGUGGUGCCUGUGGUGGAAAACGAUUUUCUAGUGGUUGGGGAUGAGCUCGCGGCCUAUCAGCUUGUUGGGGGGGUAAUGGCCUACCAAGGCGGCGACUGGUAGCCGGCCUGGGAGGGUGGACGGGCACAGUGGGACUGCGAUACGGCCCAGACUCCUACGGGAGUCAGCCGUGGGGAAUAGUGCACAAUGGGCGGAAGCCUGAUGCAGCGACGCCGCGUGGGGGAUGACGGCCCUCGGGUGGUAAACUCCUUUCGACCGCGAGGAAGCCACCUGGUUGGAAGGGUGGUGACGUUAUUGGUAGGAGAAGCCCCGGCUAACUACGUG